GUGUUAUAAUUAUAAUCAUCAUCAUCAUCAUCAUUAUCAUCAUCAGCAUGAUGAUGAUGAUGAUGAUGAUGAUGAUGAUUAUAAUAA
rnacentral:miRNA from 1 species